CCUGGCGGCUCUGAUUGUAAAGAAUCUGCCUGCAAUGCAGGAGACCUGGGUUUGAUCCCUGGGUCAGGA
rnacentral:tRNA from 1 species